rnacentral:tRNA from 1 species
GCUGGCAUGGCUCAGUGGUUGAGCAUCGGCCUAGGAACCAGGAGGCCAUGGUUCAAUUCCAUGUCAGGGCA